rnacentral:rRNA from 1 species
GCGACCCCAGGAUGACGA